AUGCAAGUCGAACGAAGUAGCAAUACUUAGUGGCAGACGGGUGAGUAACAUGUAGGUAUCUGCCCUUUGGCCUGGAAUAACACGAGGAAACUUGUGCUAAUACCGGAUAAGUCUUUACGGAGAAAGCUUUAUGCACCAUUGGAUGAGCCUGCACUUGAUUAGUUUGUUGGUGGGGUAAUGGCCUACCAAGACUGUGAUCAAUAGCUGAUUUGAGAGGAUGAUCAGCCACAUUGGGACUGAGACACGGCCCAAACUCCUACGGGAGGCAGCAGUGGGGAAUCUUGCACAAUGGAGGAAACUCUGAUGCAGCGAUGCCGCGUGAGUGAAGAAGGCCCUUGGGUUGUAAAGCUCUUUCGUCGGGGAAGAAAAUGACUGUACCCGAAUAAGAAGGUCCGGCUAACUUCGUGCCAGCAGCCGCGGUAAUACGAAGGGACCUAGCGUAGUUCGGAAUUACUGGGCUUAAAGAGUUCGUAGGUGGUUGAAAAAGUUAGUGGUGAAAUCCCAGAGCUUAACUCUGGAACUGCCAUUAAAACUUUUCAGCUAGAGUAUGAUAGAGGAAAGCAGAAUUUCUAGUGUAGAGGUGAAAUUCGUAGAUAUUAGAAAGAAUACCAAUUGCGAAGGCAGCUUUCUGGAUCAUUACUGACACUGAGGAACGAAAGCAUGGGUAGCGAAGAGGAUUAGAUACCCUCGUAGUCCAUGCCGUAAACGAUGUGUGUUAGACGUUGGAAAUUUAUUUUCAGUGUCGC
rnacentral:rRNA from 1 species